ACGGGUUCAGGCCCGCCUCGACACGACGAUGUGGGUCGACUUUUGCGACGGGACAUACUCGGUCACCUCGUAGCCGAGGAGAGGCAGGUCCA
rnacentral:sRNA from 1 species